rnacentral:rRNA from 1 species
CCUGGAACGGUGGGUGGAUGAAAGCUCCGGCGGCAUAGGAUGGGCCUGCGACGUAUCAGGUUGUAGGGGGUGUAACGUACCCUCUAGCCAUCAACGCGUACGGGUGUUGGGAGACAUAGCCCGGAGAUGGAUUCUGAGACACGAAUCCAGACCCUACGGGGUGCAGCAGGCGCGAAAACUUGGCAAUGCGAGCAAUCGUGACCAGGGAACUCCAAGUGGCUGGGGUAAUACCCAGUUUUUUCUUGACUCUUCAAAGGUCUUGGAAUAAGGGGUGGGUAAGGACGGUGCCAGCCGCCGCGGUAAUACCGGCGCCUCAAGUGGUAGUCGCUUUUAUUGGGCCUAAAACGUCCGUAGCCGGUCUGGUGCAUUCGUGGGUAAAUCAACCCGCUCAACGGGUUGAAUUCUGCGAGCACGGCCAGACUUGGGACCGGGAGAGGUGUGGGGUACUCUCAGGGUAGGGGUAAAAUCCUGUCAUCCUGAGAGGACCACCUGUUGCGAAGGCGCCACACUAGAACGGAUUCGACGGUCAGGGACGAAACCUAGGGGCACGAACCGGAUUAGAUACCCGGGUAGUCCUAGGUGUAAACGCUGUGGACUUGAUGUUGGGGGUGCUCCGAGCACUCUCAGUGUCGAAGCGAAGGUGAUAAGUCCACUGCCUGGGGAGUACGGUCGCAAGGCUGAAACUUAAAGGAAUUGGCGGGGGAGCACUGCAACCUGAGGAUUGUGCGGUUUAAUUGGACUCAACGCCGGGA